GACGAACGCUGGCGGCGUGCUUAACACAUGCAAGUCGAACGGACAGGCCAUGCUUUUGUGGGGUGCUCGAGUGGCGAACGGGUGUGUACCACGUGAGUAACCUGCCCUUGACUGUGGGAUAACUUCAGGAAACUGGGGCUAAUAUCGGAUAGGAGCUUCUGCUGCGUGGUGGGGGUUGGAAAGUUUCGGCGGUUGGGGAUGGACUCGCAGCUUAUCAGCCUGUUGGUGAGGUAGUGGCAUUACAAGGCUGUGACGGGUAGCCGGCCUGAGAGGGUGACCGGCCACAUUGGGACUGAGAGAGGGCCCAGACUCCUACGCGAGGCAACAGUGGAGAAUAUUGCACAAUAGGCGGAAGCCUGAUGCGACAACGCCGCGAGCGUGAAUACGGCCUUCGAGUUGUAAACCGCUUUCGCCUGUGACGAAGCGUUAGUGACGGUAAUUGGUAAAAAAGCACCGGCUAACUACGUG
rnacentral:rRNA from 1 species